ACGCACGCUGGCGGCGUGCUUCACUCCUGCCAGUCGAACGGAAAGGCCCUGCUUUUGUGGGGUGCUCGAGUGGCGAACGGGUGAGUAACACGUGAGUAACCUGCCCUUGACUUUGGGAUAACUUCAGGAAACUGGGGCUAAUACCGGAUAGGAGCUCCUGCUGCAUGGUGGGGGUUGGAAAGUUUCGGCGGUUGGGGAUGGACUCGCGGCUUAUCAGCUUGUUGGUGGGGUAGUGGCUUACCAAGGCUUUGACGGGUAGCCGGCCUGAGAGGGUGACCGGCCACAUUGGGACUGAGAUACGGCCCAGACUCCUACGGGAGGCAGCAGUGGGGAAUAUUGCACAAUGGGCGGAAGCCUGAUGCAGCAACGCCGCGUGCGGGAUGACGGCCUUCGGGUUGUAAACCGCUUUCGCCUGUGACGAAGCGUGAGUGACGGUAAUGGGUAAAGAAGCACCGGCUAACUACGUG
rnacentral:rRNA from 1 species